rnacentral:rRNA from 1 species
CGCCUCUUGCUAAACCAAAAGUAUAAGAGGUCCCGCCUGCCCUGUGACUAUAUGUUUAACGGCCGCGGUAUUUUGACCGUGCGAAGGUAGCGCAAUCACUUGUCUCUUAAAUGGGGACCUGUAUGAAUGGCAUAACGAGGGCUUGACUGUCUCCUCUUUCAGGUCAAUGAAAUUGAUCUCCCCGUGCAGAAGCGGGGAUAGACACAUAAGACGAGAAGACCCUAUGGAGCUUUAGACACUAAAGCAGAUCAGCAUUAAUACCCCAAAUACGGGACACGAAUAAACUGAACCCUGCCCUAAUGUCUUAGGUUGGGGCGACCGCGGAGAAAUAAAAAACCCCCGCAAGGACUGAAUGUACUACAUUCACAACCAAGAGCGACAGCUCUAAUUAACAGAUAUUUCUGACCAAUAAGAUCCGGCAACGCCGAUCAAUGGACCAAGUUACCCUAGGGAUAACAGCGCAAUCUCCUCUUAGAGCCCGUAUCAACGAGGAGGUUUACGACCUCGAUGUUGGAUCAGGACAUCCUAAUGGUGCAGCCGCUAUUAAGGGUUCGUUUGUUCAACGAUUAAAGUCCU